ACACAAGCAGCCAAAACAGGCCCAGAGCUGAUCCAGGUAUCCAAAGGCAAGAUCCUUCAGGAGCUGCCUUCCAGAAACCUGUUGGAGCGGAUGUCAGCCUGGGACUUGUUCCAAAAGAAGAAUUGAGCACACAGUCUUUGGAGCCAGUAUCCCUGGGAGAUCCAAACUGCAAAAUUGACUUGUCGUUUUUAAUUGAUGGGAGCACCAGCAUUGGCAAACGGCGAUUCCGAAUCCAGAAGCAGCUCCUGGCUGAUGUUGCCCAAGCUCUUGACAUUGGCCCUGCCGGUCCACUGAUGGGUGUUGUCCAGUAUGGGCCCCUGCACUGGUACUGGAAAAACUCACCAGGCAAUGGAGAAGAAUGGGUGGGAAGAGAGACGGCCCCCAUCAGUCAGCUGAGCACCUAGAUGACUUUCGCCAACCUGCUCUAUUAUUAUACUUAGGAUAGAAAUGGAGGGCUCGUGUUGACAUCCAGUCUCAAUCUUUCAUUUGGCGGUAAUAAAUCACUCUUAUUUCAGAUAUGAAUAGGUUUCUCACUGAAACAGAUACAUAGAUAUUGAUAAUAAACAAUCAAAAGAACAA
rnacentral:lncRNA from 1 species